rnacentral:rRNA from 1 species
UAGGGAAUCUUCGGCAAUGGACGAAAGUCUGACCGAGCAACGCCGCGUGAGUGAAGAAGGUUUUCGGAUCGUAAAACUCUGUUGUUAGAGAAGAACAAGGACGUUAGUAACUGAACGUCCCCUGACGGUAUCUAACCAGAAAGCCACGGCUAACUACGUGCCAGCAGCCGCGGUAAUACGUAGGUGGCAAGCGUUGUCCGGAUUUAUUGGGCGUAAAGCGAGCGCGGGCGGUUUCUUAAGUCUGAUGUGAAAGCCUCCGGCUCAACCGGGGAGGGUCAUUGGAAACUGGGAGACUUGAGAGCAGAAGAGGAGAGUGGAAUUCCAUUUGUAGCGGUGAAAUGCGUAGAUAUAUGGAGGAACACCAGUGGCGAAGGCGGCUCUCUGGUCUGUAACUGACGCUGAGGCUCGAAAGCGUGGGGAGCAAACAGG